rnacentral:tRNA from 1 species
AAAGAAUUAGUUAAAAAAUAACAAUAGAAUGUCAAACUAUAAUUAUUAAAAAUUAAUUAAUAUUCUUUA